rnacentral:rRNA from 1 species
AUUGAACGCUGGCGGCAGGCCUAACACAUGCAAGUCGAACGGUAACGCGGGGGCAACCCUGGCGACGAGUGGCGGACGGGUGAGUAAUACGUAGGAAUCUGCCCUUUAGUGGGGGACAACCCGGGGAAACCCGGGCUAAUACCGCAUACGCUCUACGGAGGAAAACGGGGGAUCGCAAGACCUCGUGCUAUUGGAUGAGCCUACGUCGGAUUAGCUAGUUGGUAGGGUAAAAGCCGACCAAGGCGGCGAUCCGUAGCUGGUCUGAGAGGACGAUCAGCCACACUGGGACGGAGACACGGCCCAGACUCCUACGGGAGGCAGCAGUGGGGAAUAUUGGACAAUGGGGGCAACCCUGAUCCAGCAAUGCCGCGUGUGUGAAGAAGGCCUGCGGGCUGUAAAGCACUUUCAGUGGGGAAGAAAAGCCUAGGGUUAAUAACCCUGAGUCUUGACGUUACCCAAAGAAGAAGCACCGGCUAACUCCGUGCCAGCAGCCGCGGUAA